CAAGUAAAUCGGAUAGUCGCAGAUUUAUUAUCUGAGGAAAGUCGGAGCUCCGCAGGGCAGGGUGCUGGAUAACGUCCAGUGGGGGCGACCCUAAGGCAAGUGCCACAGAAACAAACCGCCUGGCAGAGUCAGGUAAGGGUGGAACGGUGAGGUAAGAGCUCACCAGCGUUUAGGCGACUAAACGGCUCGGUAAACCCCACCCGGAGCAAGACCAAAUAGAGGAACAAAGAGUUGCCCGCUCUGUUCCCGGGUAAGGUCGCUAGAGGUGUCAGGCAACUGGCAUCCCAGAUAGAUGACUAUCUAAUACAGAACUCCGCUUACAGAUUUGCUUGCUAC
rnacentral:RNase_P_RNA from 2 species